rnacentral:rRNA from 1 species
GAAAGCGGGGGACUCGCAAGGGCCUCGCGCUAUGGGAGCGGCCGAUGGCCGAUUAGCUAGUUGGUGGGGUAAAGGCCUACCAAGGCGACGAUCGGUAGCUGGUCUGAGAGGAUGAUCAGCCACACUGGGACUGAGACACGGCCCAGACUCCUACGGGAGGCAGCAGUGGGGAAUUUUGGACAAUGGGGGCAACCCUGAUCCAGCCAUGCCGCGUGAGUGAAGAAGGCCUUCGGGUUGUAAAGCUCUUUUGGUCGGGAAGAAAGGGUUUCCUUGAAUAGGGGAGAUCUGUGACGGUACCGGCAGAAUAAGCACCGGCUAACUACGUGCCAGCAGCCGCGGUAAUACGUAGGGUGCGAGCGUUAAUCGGAAUUACUGGGCGUAAAGCGUGCGUAGGCGGUUCUCCAAGUCCGUUGUGAAAGCCCCGGGCUCAACCUGGGAAUGGCAGUGGAAACUAAGGGACUUGAAUCUGGCAGAGGGGGGUGGAAUGCCGCGUGUAGCAGUGAAAUGCGUAGAGAUGCGGCGGAACACCGAUGGGCGAAGGCAGCCCCCUGGGCUGAGAUUGACGCUCAGGCACGAAAGCGUGG